rnacentral:rRNA from 1 species
GAGUUUGAUUCUGGCUCAGGAUGAACGCUAGCGAUAGGCUUAACACAUGCAAGUCGAGGGGCAGCAUGAUCUUAGCUUGCUAAGGUUGAUGGCGACCGGCGCACGGGUGCGUAACGCGUAUGCAACUUGCCUUACAGAGGGGGAUAACCCGUUGAAAGACGGACUAAUACCGCAUACACUUGUUUGGUUGCAUGAUCGGGCAAGGAAAUAUUUAUAGCUGUAAGAUAGGCAUGCGUCCCAUUAGCUGGUUGGUGAGGUAACGGCUCACCAAGGCUACGAUGGGUAGGGGAACUGAGAGGUUUAUCCCCCACACUGGUACUGAGACACGGACCAGACUCCUACGGGAGGCAGCAGUGAGGAAUAUUGGUCAAUGGGCGAGAGCCUGAACCAGCCAAGUCGCGUGAAGGAAGACUGUCCUAAGGAUUGUAAACUUCUUUUAUACGGGAAUAAACGGGCGAUACGUGUA